rnacentral:rRNA from 1 species
UAGGUCAGCAUACUACGGUGAAUACGUUCCCGGGCCUUGUACACACCGCCCGUCAAACCAUGAGAGUUGCAACACCCGAAGUCGGUAGUCUAACCGCAAGGAGGACGCCGCCGAAGGUGGGGUUGAUGAUUAGGGUUAAGUCGUAACAAGGUAUC